ensembl:snRNA U6 U6 spliceosomal RNA
GUGCUUGCUUCAGCAGCAUAUACACUAAAAUUGGAACAACACAGAGAACAUUAGUAUGGCCCCUGUGAGAAUGACAUGCAAAUUUGUGAACCGUUCUGCAUUUUU